ACGGGAGGCAGCAGUGGGGAAUAUUGCACAAUGGGCGCAAGCCUGAUGCAGCCAUGCCGCGUGUAUGAAGAAGGCCUUCGGGUUGUAAAGUACUUUCAGCAGUGAGGAAGGAGGUAUCGUUAAUAGCGGUAUCUUUUGACGUUAGCUGCAGAAGAAGCACCGGCUAACUCCGUGCCAGCAGCCGCGGUAAUACGGAGGGUGCGAGCGUUAAUCGGAAUUACUG
rnacentral:rRNA from 1 species